rnacentral:rRNA from 1 species
UACGAAGGGGGCUAGCGUUGUUCGGAAUUACUGGGCGUAAAGCGCACGUAGGCGGGUCGUUAAGUCAGGGGUGAAAUCCCAGAGCUCAACUCUGGAACUGCCUUUGAUACUGGCGACCUAGAGUUCGGAAGAGGUUAGUGGAAUUCCCAGUGUAGAGGUGAAAUUCGUAGAUAUUGGGAGGAACACCAGUGGCGAAGGCGGCUAACUGGUCCGAUACUGACGCUGAGGUGCGAAAGCGUGGGGAGCAAACAGG